rnacentral:lncRNA from 1 species
AUAUGUGCAAGAUAUAUCCAAUACAGUAAUGUAUUCCUGAACCCACAAACAACCUAGUCCCUGAAGGACACAUGAACUGUCUCAUUUGUCUCCAUUGAACCCUACAUGUGAUGGGUUCAAUGCAAACAUAAUGAGCACAAGAAUGGUGAUGACCAAAAUAGUAUUUCAUUUCAAUAGUUUAUUAAAGAUUGCAGAAAAUGUGUGCAUGGGGAUGGUCACAUAUGAAAGACCAGGAAAAUAGACCAGAAAAACCUGGAGCAAGCAGCAAUUUACAAGUAGAAUGAGCCUGUAAAAUUAGUAGAGAUUGAGAAUGUUUACUUCACUUGAGUUUCCCUUCUUAAAUCCCUGCUUAUGAAUACUGAAUGCCUUGAUUAGUUUAUGAAUAAUUCAUCAAUGCAAGCACACACAGAAAAACUGAGAAAGUGUUUGCUUUCAUGAGUUUUAACCACUGUUUUACUUGAGACAUAACAGAAUUCAAGGUAUGUAGAGGAAUUGCUGAAGUGGUGUGGCUGCUAUGAGUCCCAUGGGAAGCUUAAUUUUGAAUACUGCUUGUCCUUCCAGGACUAGCUGGUGAUGAAUCUGGGUCCUGAAGGACAGAUCAUCCAAGGAGGUAGUUCUUAUGUAGCAGUACUGUGAACCUCUUACCCUUCUGGGAGUUUUGUAGUGUGGCACUACAAGUGAUAUCCAUUCACUUGUAUGUCUGUUGCAACAGAAUUGUAUCACACUCUCUAUCCCAUCUCCAUCUCAGAGUUGUAUCCAAUCUCUAUCUCAGUAAGCUCACUCAUUAUUUUCAGGAAAGGGUAAUGGUACUGCAGGAGCUGCUGAGGGCAGGAAGAGCCUCCCACUGACCCCUAGGAUGGAACACAACAAGUCUGCUGAUGCUGCCUCCCAUGCCAUUUUGGCUGUGAGAAAAGAGGUGGUGAUGGAUGUCUGGUCCCAAACUUUGGAUGUCUCAUUGGGUGCUGAGCAGGCCCGUGGAAGCUGUUGCAGUACUCAGAGAUCUUUGUAUGGCAUCUUCAGCUCAAGGCAGUGUUGGAGGACGUCUGUCAUCAAGUAGGGAUGUGGCUGGUGUGAGCGUCACUGAUGUCCACCACCUAUCUUCAUUACUGUGACAUUCUCAUGCUGCCUUCUGCCUCCAACUCUAAGCUCUGUGUAUUUCUGAUUUCCCUGUGCUUGUGCUUUGCUUGUUGUCAGAAAGGUAUCUGAAUGGCAGACAGCUGCCCAGUGUAUCUAUAGAGAUUGUAGAACAUUUUUAAGUGGGAAAAUGAGGAACCUGGCUAUAGAACUAAGGGAGGAAGACCUGAUCUAAGAAGCUUCAGAACUGCUGAUUUAGAACAAUACAUUUCGUAAGGAAAAGAAAACAAAAUAAAUGAAACCACCUUUGAAACCUGUACA